rnacentral:tmRNA from 2 species
GGGGGUGUACCGGUUUCGACAGGGCGGGCAAAGGUGAGCAGGCAACCCGAGAGGCGACGGACGUAAUCCGCGCAAAUCCAUAAACGCCAACGAUGAGCGUUUCGCACUGGCCGCUUAAGGCCUAUGCCGAGGCUGCUUGAGCCUUGUUACCAAAGAAAAGCCGGUGGGGACUUCGGUCCCCAUCGUCA